UGGGAGAAAGUUCAAAUGCAUACAGGAACGUGCUGUCUACACUAUUUAAGAUCAUUUUGCCGGUAGUCACUGUACAGUUGCCUGCUCAUUUAAAAAGGGAAUUUGUUUAUUGUAUAUUCGGCAUCACUGUCCAUUACUGAGAAAUACUUAAAGAGAAAUGAAAUUUCUAAUAAUAACCUUGCUUAUUUUUUCUGGGAGACCAAAUCCUAAAUGUCGGAUUAACAUUGAUGAUCCAAACUUCCAAAACAUCAAAACUGCCCUUCCGGCUCCACCAGGAACUCGAAUUAUUGGAGGUUUGGGUUACUCGGGUUUCAUCGUAAAAGAUGUUACCGACACCAGACGUACAUAUAUUGAAAUUCCAGGACAAUCCAAUCUUGACUUAGAACAUCUAUUGUUCAACGCCUGUAGAUUCAACGAUCGUCUGAGAAAAUAUGUUUUUGCACCUGAAGUUUAACAAUACAAAGAAAAACAAUUUAUCAAUAAAAUUUCGAAUAGCAAAAAUUCGAUGAUAUGAAAAGUAA